rnacentral:rRNA from 1 species
ACGGGAGGCAGCAGUGGGGAAUAUUGGUCAAUGGGCGGAAGCCUGAACCAGCCAAGUCGCGUGAAGGAUGAAGGUAUUAUGUAUUGUAAACUUCUUUAGCAGUGGAGUAAUAAGGGGAUCGUGAUCCCUGAUGCAAGUACACUGAGAAUAAGGAUCGGCUAACUCCGUGCCAGCAGCCGCGGUAAUACGGAGGAUCCGGGCGUUAUCCGGAUUUAUUGGGUUUAAAGGGUGCGCAGGCGGCUUUUUAAGUCAGUGGUAAAAUCGGGGAGCUCAACUCCAUCCCGCCAUUGAUACUGGAGAGCUUGAUUGCGGUCGAGGUUGGCGGAAUUCGUCGUGUAGCGGUGAAAUGCAUAGAUAUGACGAAGAACACCGAUUGCGUAGGCAGCUGACCAGGCCGUAAAUGACGCUCAUGCACGAAAGUGCGGGGAUCGAACAGGAUUAGAUACCCUGGUA